rnacentral:rRNA from 1 species
GAUGAACGCUAGCGGCAGGCCUAACACAUGCAAGUCGAGGGGUAACUAGAGUGAUAGCAAUAUUACUUUGGCUAGACCGGCGCACGGGUGCGUAACACGUAUGCAACCUACCUUAUACUGGGGAAUAACUUCGAGAAAUCGGCGCUAAUACCCCAUAACAUUGCGAAGAGGCAUCUCUUUGCAAUUAAAGCUCCGGCGGUAUAAGAUGGGCAUGCGUCCAAUUAGCUAGUUGGUGAGGUAACGGCUCACCAAGGCUACGAUUGGGAGGGGUUCUGAGAGGAUGAUCCCCCACACUGGUACUGAGACACGGACCAGACUCCUACGGGAGGCAGCAGUGAGGAAUAUUGCGCAAUGGACGAAAGUCUGACGCAGCCAUGCCGCGUGCAGGAUGACGGCCCUAUGGGUUGUAAACUGCUUUUGUACGGGAAUAAACCCUUCUACGUGUAGGAGGCUGAAGGUACCGUAAGAAUGAGCACCGGCUAACUCCGUGCCAGCCGCCGCAGUAACAC